rnacentral:lncRNA from 1 species
AUGUCCGGAGUCGGAGUGGGGGUCGGCUCUGUGGAGAUGUCGCCCCACUUGGUCUCGCUCAACCCCCCCUGCAAACUAUACCCCCUGCCUGAAGCGGGGUGCGUGAGCGUGGGGAGCGGGAGCGGGGUGGACGUGACGAUCCCGAGGGAGGCCGGCGGGGGCGAAGGCGGGGCCGGGGACCUGGGGAGCUACUGCAUCCUGGAGAACCGCAACGGCAUCGUCACCCUCACCCCCUUCGCCGAAGACACCCGAGUCAACGGCCGCGCCGUCCAGCAAACCGUCCGGCUCGAACCAGGAAGUACAAUUGCAGUCGGACAGUCGGGUCUUUUUAAAUUUAACUAUCCUCUUCUUUCCAAUAUGAUGAAGUCUUCCAUGCAGUCGAAUUCGUUUGGAUUAAAUCAGUUUAACGAUUCCAAAAAGGAAAAAGUACAACCAACUUUUAAUGUCACACCCGUUGACAAAUACAUUUCACCAAAAUGCUUUCCUCGUGGGAGUGUCACAGUCAACUCACCCGCCGACGCUGUUUUCGGACAAAACUCACCGAUCAAUCACAUCUCGAAACUGAACAAAUCCCCUGCCGCCAAUGACAAUUGCUCAAAGUUGAACAACUCAGUUAUUUACCAAAACAUAAACUGCUCAUACCAGUCGAGCAAAGUAAAUAAUAGUGACCUGCCCCCAAGUUUAGUCAAUGGGAGCGGUCAUCUGGGUGAAUAUGUACCUAAGAGUCAGAAUAACUCGGGAGGAGGCGAGCCUAUCAGAGGGAAGGUGUUGUCACUUCCCAGUGCAUCCUUUGACCGAAACCCCACGUACUCAGCGCAUAAGAGCGGUGUAGUUUCACCAGUGCACAGCAUGGUUCAAUCCAAAACAAGUUACGAAGAUGAUUUGUCGUCUUAUCAUCCGUACUGUUCUCAGUCAAGUUACCCUUAUUCAUGCAGUGGCUCUGGGCCGUGUAGUCAGUAUAAUUAUGAUCUCGAGCUGAACAAGCAAUUAGAUGAGCAGCUGUCAAUCCAGGCAGCUGAAAAGAAGCAGCUAGAUGAGAUCCUCUCAGUUUUGCAGACUAUGAGAAGAAAACAUUGGAGCAGUCAGCAAAACCUCAUCAUAAUAGAAUUAUCACCAAUGGUUCGCUGCCACGAGAUAAACAUCUUGGCUCUCCUAAUGGUUUGUCUGAAUAUUCCAGGGAUACUUCUUUCAAUUUUGACGGAUCCUCACCAAAAGAUGAUAAGUACUCCAAGACUGCUCAUUUUGAUUUUGAGAAGAGAAAUAACCUAG